GUCCAGGGAUGGGAAACGAACCCACAGUUCCGUUUACCGGGCAGAUGUCAUGUCCACUAGGCUACCCUGGA
rnacentral:tRNA from 1 species